GUGGCGAACGGGUGAGUAACACGUGAGCAAUCUGCCCUUGACUCUGGGAUAACUGCGGGAAACUGUAGCUAAUACCGGAUACUUUCCUCGCUGGGCAUCCAGCGGGGAAGAAAGAAUUUCGGUCAAGGAUGAGCUCGCGGCCUAUCAGCUAGUUGGUGAGGUAAAGGCUCACCAAGGCGACGACGGGUAGCCGGCCUGAGAGGGUGACCGGCCACACUGGAACUGAGACACGGUCCAGACUCCUACGGGAGGCAGCAGUGGGGAAUAUUGCACAAUGGGCGAAAGCCUGAUGCAGCAACGCCGCGUGAGGGAUGAAGGCCUUCGGGUUGUAAACCUCUUUUAGCAGGGAAGAAGCGAAAGUGACGGUACCUGCAGAAAAAGCACCGGCUAACUACGUGCCAGCAGCCGCGGUAAUACGUAGGGUGCAAGCGUUGUCCGGAAUUAUUGGGCGUAAAGAGCUCGUAGGCGGUUUGUCACGUCUGCUGUGAAAAUCCGAGGCUCAACCUCGGACUUGCAGUGGGUACGGGCAGGCUAGAGUGCGGUAGGGGAGAAGGGAAUCCCUGGUGUAGCGGUGGAAUGCGCAGAUAUCAGGAGGAACACCAAUGGCGAAGGCACUUCUCUGGGCCGUAACUGACGCUGAGGAGCGAAAGCGUGGGGAGCGAACAGGAUUAGAUACCCUGGUAGUCCAC
rnacentral:rRNA from 1 species